UACGUAGGGGGCAAGCGUUGUCCGGAUUUAUUGGGCGUAAAGAGCGUGUAGGCGGCCUGACAGGUCUGCUGUGAAAACUCGAGGCUCAACCUCGAGAUGUCGGCGGAAACCGUCUGGCUAGAGUCCGGAAGAGGAGAGUGGAAUUCCUGGUGUAGCGGUGGAAUGCGCAGAUAUCAGGAGGAACACCAAUAGCGAAGGCAGCUCGCUGGAACGGUACUGACGCUAAGGCGCGAAAGCGUGGGGAGCGAACAGG
rnacentral:rRNA from 1 species